rnacentral:lncRNA from 1 species
AUUUGAAGAAAUUGAGUCAUCUAGACAUGAGUAAUAACUUAAUAAGUGGAAAGAUACCUUCACAGUUGGGAAAUUUGAAAGAAGUAAAAUACUUCAAUCUCUCCCACAAUAACCUCUCUGGCACCAUUCCUUAUUCUAUUUCUAGUAACUACAGAUGGACAUUGAUUGAUUUAUCAAACAAUCGGUUGGAGGGUCAAGCUAGAGCUCCGGUAGAGGCAUUUGGCCACAACAAAGGUCUAUGUGGUGAAAUCAAAGGUUGGGCACGAUGCAAGAAAAGGCACCAAAUCACACUCAUCAUUGUUGUUUCUUUAUCUACAACCUUGUUGCUUUCAGUUGCAAUCCUUGGUUUUCUCUUCCAUAAACGAAGGAUCAGAAAAAAUCAAUUACUCGAGACAACAAAGGUGAAAAAUGGAGAUCUAUUUUCCAUAUGGGACUUCGAUGGUGUGAUUGCUUAUCAAGACAUCAUCCAAGCAACCGAAGAUUUUGACAUCAAAUACUGCAUAGGCACGGGAGGCUAUGGGAGCGUUUAUAGAGCACAACUACCUUCCGGGAAGGUGGUUGCCUUGAAAAAACUUCAUGGAUGGGAAAGAGAGGAUCCAACUUACUUGAAAAGCUUUGAAAAUGAAGUUCAAAUGCUAACAAGAAUACGACAUCGUAAUAUUGUGAAACUUCAUGGCUUUUGUCUACAUAAGAGAUGCAUGUUUCUAGUUUACAAAUAUAUGGAGAAAGGAAGCUUGUAUUGUAUGCUAAGGGAUGAAGUUGAGGCUGUGGAAUUGGAUUGGAUUAAGAGGGUGAAUGUUGUUAAAAGCAUUGCUAAUGCUUUAUCCUACAUGCAUCAUGACUGCGACUUGCCCAUCAUUCACCGAGACAUAUCAAGUAAUAACAUUCUUUUGGACUCUAAGCUUGAAGCUUUUGUGUCGGAUUUUGGCACUGCAAGAUUGUUAGAUAAUGAUUCAUCCAAUCGAACCCUUCUUGCAGGCACUUACGGUUAUAUUGCACCAGGUAAGCUAGAUUAUAAUCUUCACUAGUUUUCAUUACUUAUGAAUCUUUUCAAUUGUCACACCCUUACAAAAUUCCAAAAGUUUUUUAGAUCGAGAAUUCAAAAUAUUUUAUAAGUUUUCUCUAUAUAAAUAACAUGAAUGCUCAUUUUUUUUCUCUAUAUUUUGUAGAGCUUGCUUAUACUAUGGUUGUGACUGAAAAAUGUGACGUUUAUAGCUUUGGGAUGGUUGCAUUGGAGACGAUGAUGGGAAUGCAUCCAGGAGAAUUUAUCACCUCAUUAUCAUCUUCAUCAACUCAAAACACAACGUUAAAGGAUGUAUUGGAUUCACGUCUUUCAUCUCCUAAAAGUACACGAGUUGCUAAUAACAUAGCUCUUAUAGUGUCAUUGGCGCUCAAAUGUCUCCAUUUUAAUCCACAAUUUUGUCCAUCCAUGCAAGAAGUGUCUUCGAAACUUGUUUCUACAAGGUCAUUCCCACAACCCAUCAGUGCAAUAUCACUUUUGCAACUAAAAGAUGAAGUUAUUUAAAUGCCAUGUGAGUUGGUAUGUAAUUAGAGUGAAGAUGUUUACUUUCCAUUUUUCUUUUUCAUGCAUGCUAGUAAUGAGAAUUUUAUAAUAUAUGUAUCCCUUCUUUCCUAUUAAUUACUCAAAUGCAAAUUUUCUAUUUGUUUUUCCAAAGCGACAAUAGCGUAAUGCGAUACAAAGAAUUACAUCAAAUUGAUACACAAUGAUCUAUAAACUUUUAAUGAACCAUGUCAUUCUGAUUAAUAAUUUUUUAUAAUGAUUCUUCUUUGGACAAAAAUCCUUCUUUUUCUUUUAUCAAUUUUAACAUAUAUACCAUUUUCUCUAUUUUCAUAUUCUAAUCAAUCAAAUUAGUGACAUUUCUUGUAAAUGUGACAAACCUAUUGUCAAAGACAUUAAAAAAAUAAGGGAAAAAACAAAUUGAAUAAUUUCAAUAUGAUUGUCUCUACAUGAUGAAGAUAAUAAAUUUAUUUUAUUUAUUUUUAAAAUACUGUUUUAUCCAUUUUUCCUAUAUCAUCUAAAAUUUUGUCUAAAAUAAAAUUAUUUGAUUUUGUAUAAGAAUACUUAAAAAUGUGGGUGGGAAUGUGGGAUACUAGGAUGACGCUAAAACACUAAAUGACAUACUUGUGAUACAAUAUUAAGAAAUUAUUUCAUAAUGUUUUAUAAUUUGUUUCUACUAUUUAGUCACCCAUAAAUAUCAAUUUUAAAAAUAUUUAAUGAUUAAAGAAAAUUAAGUGAGAUAUAAUUAAAAUAACUCUAAAAAUUUUAUUUUCCCAUCAUGGAAUAACAUAAUUGAUAUUCAUACUAAUGAUUUUAUUAAGAUAAGAUACCUAGUCGAUAAAAGGUCCUUGAUUUUAUAUAAAAUUAGACAUUAUAUUUACUUAAAUUAUUUUCAUAAUAGUAGCAUAUUUUUUACUUUAUAAUUUCUUGUAACUUAACAAUUUAUAAUAAUGAUGAUAAUAAUAACAACGACAUUAAUUAAUAAUACCAAUAACAGUAACAGUAAUGAUAGUCAUCAUUUUGUAAGAGAGAAAUCCUCCUAAUUUCUUUAAAAUUUUAACACACUAUUUCUCAAGUUUCCAUUCUAAUCAAUCAAAUUUUGUAAGAUUUUUAUUGACACAAUGAAUCUAUUGUCCAAGGUGUACAAUAAGAAUGGGAAAAAAAAACAAAUUGAAUAAUUACACAACAAUGUGGUGAAGAUAAUAAAUUUAUUGAGUUUAUUUUUAAAAAUCCCACCUUAUUUAUUUUCCAAAGUAUUUAAAAUUUUGUACAAAAUAAAAUUAUUUGAUCAUGUACAAGAAGAGCACUAAAAAAUAUUGGUGGGAGUGUGAAAAUAGUAUCAUCCAACCCAAACACCAAAUGACAUACAAGUGAUGCUUAUUAAGUCAUAUUUAAAAAAAAAAAAAAACAAUACUAUUUAAAUUGAAUAAUUUAGGUGAACUAUGAAGACAAGUACGACAUUUUCAUAUUCUAAUCAAUCAAAUCAAUGAGAUUUCUUGUGAAUAUGACCAACCCAUUGUUAAAGGCAUACGAUAAAUUUAGGGAAAAAACAAAUUGAAUAAUUUCAAUAUGAUUGUCUUUGCAUGAUGAAGAUAAUAAAUUUAUUCUAUUUAUUUUGGAAAUACGAUUUUAUCCAUUUUUCCUAUAUCAUUUAAAAUUUUGUAUAAAAUAAAAUUAUUUUAUUUUGUAUAAGAAUACUUCAAAAUGUUGGUGGGAAUGUGGAAUAGUAGGAUGACACUCAAACAACAAAUGAUAUACUUGUGAUGCAAUAUGAAGAAAUUUUUGUAAUAUUUUACAAUUUGUUGCUACUACUUGGUCACCUAUAAAUGUCAAUUGUAAAAAUAUAUAAUGAUUGAAGGAAAUUAAGUGAGAUAUGAUUAAAAAAAUCUAAAAAUUUUAUUUCUUAUUUUGGAAUAACAGAAUUGAUAUUCAUACUAAUGAUUUUAUUAACAUGAGAUAGCUAGUUGAUAAAAUGUCCUUGAUUUUACAUAAAAUUAGACAUUAUAUUUAUUUAAAUUAUUUUCAUAAUAGUAGCAUAUUUGUAAAAUAUAUGAAACUCUAUUUAAAUUGAAUAAUUUAGGUAAACUAUGAAUACAAGUAUAACACUAAUGCUCCUCAUUUUAUUGAAAUAUUAUAAAACAUAUCAUGAAGGGUGUAGUUAAGGAUAUAAAAAUUUGGCUGUUGGACCAAGGACUAACCUAAGUCCGUCUAAAUAUUUUAGUUCGAAUUCUAAUUUGGCCAUUAUCUUGCCUUAGCCCUAUCCUUUAAGGUUGGACUUUAGUUUAUCCUUUCUAGAUGUCGUUGAGAAUCAAAUCAAUGGUUCCAUUCCUCCCGAAAAUAGGGAAUUUGAAGAAUUUGUCUACUCUAUACAUGAGCAAUAACUUAAUAAGUGGAAAAAUACCUCUCUAGUUUGGAAGUUUGAAUUAAAGGUGGUGAAUUCAAUUCCCUAAUUUCACUUAUAAAUAGAGGUGACUUCCUUCAGCGAGGGAAUCGAAUAGACAAAAAUGACUCCACAUGAUAAAAGGGACUUCACAAAGAAAAAAAAGUUUCACAAAAUCUCUCUGCAAGUUUAAGAAAUGACAGAAUCACUACACACACGAUCUUCACCUUUCAAAGAGUUCUUUCAGGAACAAGCCACUUAUAACUCUUGAUUAAUCUCUAAAAUUAAAGAAACAUUUUCAUCAUGGUCUUCCAAAUUAUGAUCAAGGUAAAAGAAUUAGAGGGAUAUAUACUUUUGUAAAAGAAUAUUAUCAUAAAAAUUGUGCCCCAUGAUUUAAUAAUUUUAAUAAAAUUUUUAUUUUACAUUAUUUUUCUUAUUGUUUUGCUUACAUUGCAAGACUUUACAAAAUUUGUGUAUACACUCAUAAUGAAAUACUUUUUUUCUUUAAAUACCAAAAUUUGAUAUCUCUUCUUCUUUUUUCAUUUUUACUUUAUAGUUUCUUGUAACUUAACAAUUUAUAAUAAUGAUGAUAAUAAUAACAACGACAUUAAUUAAUAAUACCAAUAACAGUAAUAGUAAUGAUAGUCAUCAUUUUGUAAGAGAGAAAUCCUCCUAAUUUCUUUUUAAAAUUUUAACACACUAUUUCUCAAGUUUCCAUUCUAAUCAAUCAAAUUUUGUAAGAUUUUUAUUGACACAAUGAAUCUAUUGUCCAAGGUGUACAAUAAGAAUGGGAAAAAAAAACAAAUUGAAUAAUUACACAACAACGUGGUGAAGAUAAUAAAUUUUUUGAGUUUAUUUUUAAAAAUCCCACCUUAUUUAUUUUCCAAAGUAUUUAAAAUUUUGUACAAAAUAAAAUUAUUUGAUCAUGUACAAGAAGAGCACUAAAAAAUAUUGGUGGGAGUGUGAAAAUAGUAUCAUCCAACCCAAACACCAAAUGACAUACAAGUGAUGCUUAUUAAGUCAUAUUUAAAAAAAAAAAAAAACAAUACUAUUUAAAUUGAAUAAUUUAGGUGAACUAUGAAGACAAGUACGACAUUAAUGCUCCUCAUUUUAUUGAAAUAUAAUAUAUCAUUAACACUUUCGAAUAAGGAUGUAAAUAUUUGGCAUGUUAGUCAAAACCUAGUAUUGUCUAUCUAACCGCGAUCCAAUCCCUUUGGGAUUGGACUUGGGCUUAUUUUUAAAGUUCGACUAUAGCCUAUGAGUUGGGCCUCCAGAGUCGACUUCCUGCCCCUGUAUCAAGAGUUCAAGGUCUCAAGACCAUAAUGUCACGAGUCAUGGCACAGUCAAUUUCGGCCAUAAUAGUAUUUUUUUUUUCUUCUUUUUCUUUUGGUUUUUUUUUUUCAUACUAGGGAGCUGAUGAUAUAUUGAACUUUUUUGCAUUUAUGCAUUUUCAAAUCUACUUAUAAGAUUGGCUCCUAUAUUAAAUUGUCGAUAUUAUCCCUAAACAUAAGUUUCUUAUAAGAAACUUUCAAAAAAAAAAAAAUUGAACCACCAUUUUAAAGUUUAUAGGCUUCAAGAGGGGCUAAUUUCAUUAACAAUGCCCUAUGAGAUUUAGUGUAAAUAUACUAAGUUGCUAUAGAUUUUAAAUUUUAUUAAUUAACAACAUUAUAAAUGUAUUUUAUAUAUAAAAUUUAUUUUUUUAGAGAAUAAAAUUUAUUUUUAAGAGAAUUGUUAAACAUAUCUACUUAUUUUAUUUUAUUUUUUUAAUAAAAAAAUCUUUCUAAAAAAUAUGUUUUAUAAAUAUAAUAAAUUUAUAAUAUGCUAAUCAAUAAAAUUUGAAUCUAAUAGUAGUUAAAUGUAUUUACAACAAAUCUCAAGAGAUCUCGAUUAAAUUAACUCUAAAAAAUAAAUAUGAUUUAAAUAUGUUUUAAAAAGAAAAAAAAUGAAUGAACAUAAAAUAUAAACCCUCCAUCAUUGAUAUGGAGGACAAAAAUUUAGAAGAAAAUUGUUUCAUCAUUAUUGGAUGAAAAAAACGUAAAGAAAAAAAAAAGGUAAAAGAGAAAAAUGGAAUGUGAAAAAUGAUAUAAAUUUAUUAAUUUCAUGAACACUUAGUUAUUUUUUAAAAUUCAUAAAAAGUAUUAAAAUAAGGAUAUUUUGGCUAUUACGUUUUAAAAAUAGUAUAUAAAAUAAAAUACAUUUUAGUCCUUUUGUUUUGAAAAGAAAAAUAACAAUGAAAUUGUUUUUCAAAUAUUUCCAUUCUAGUAUGCCUUCUCCCAACUUUUCCAAAAAUACAUAUGUAGAGACAGAAUUUUUAUCUCCUAUAUUAAAAAUAUUUAAAUUAGGAAGGUUUUUUAGAUAGGAAAUAAAAUCAGAUCAUAUGUGAUGAAUAAUUGAAUAUAAAUUGUUUUUUUUAUAGUUUUUUUAUUUAAUGUUUCAUUAAUUUGAACUCUUAACUAAACAUAUAUAUUUAAGUUUAUUUUUAUUUUUAUAAUAAUAAGUAUUAAAGAUUAUAAAUUAAAAAAUGUAGUAAUUUUUAAAUUAUAAAUAAUAAUAUAUAUAAUGUUUUUAUGUAAAUAAAAUUUAAUAUUAUCUUUUUAUUUUAUUUUAAAUAUGUCUUCAGACUUGAAUAUUAUAUAUGUUUUUAAAUAUUAAUACAUUUAUAUUUGAACUUGUCCUUGUUUCAUUUGAUGAUGUCAAAUAUAAAAAAUGAAAUAUUAUUAAAAUUUGAAUUAUAUAUAUAUUUUUAAUUUUAAUUUUUUAUAAUAUAUAAAUUAUAUAUUUAUGAUGCUACUGGUUUGACAUGGUUCAACUAUGGCUCCAAUUUGUGAAUCAUCGACUGAUAAUUUUUUCUAUUUAAUGACCGAUCUAAUUAUGAAAACAUUGAUUUGAUGUAUUAGAACAACUUUAAUAUUUAAAGUAAAAAUUAAAUAAUAAGUUUCAAGUCAACAACCUAAUUAAGAAUAAUUUAAGUUAAAACUAAUUUAAGUCAUUAAAUAAUAAGUAUCAAGUUUUACUAGUUAUUAUCUAAAUUUUUAAAAGUGAUUUUAAAGAAUUUGUAAAACACUUAAUUUCUCUGAUAAAACACUUUUUAUGUAUAAUAUAUGAUGCACUUUUAACUUUCUCAAAAUCAUUUUCAAACAUACUUAUACAAAAAUUUAUAGUGAUUUUUAGAUAUAUAAUUUUUGUGAGUUCGUCAUUGUUUAAUUUCAAUCGACUCAUCUAAGUUUUCUUCUUGGUCUUUUACGCAAACAUGGUGCAGAUUGGAAAAUUAUAUGUAUAAAUCCAUCAUUGAUCUCAACAUCAAUAUUUUUUUCUUCAAUUUAUUUGAUUGGAAGCUUCCCCAAGUUGUUAAUGGAUUUCAAUUGGAUGCUCUUAGAAAUUAAAUCACAAAUCAUCAAUUGAACUAGACAUUAUUAUUAAUAUAUAUUAGAGACUUUAGCUGUAGACUAGAAAAUAGUUGCUUGACUUAGUGUGUGUUUAAGGGAAGAGCUCUCUUGGACACCAACCAAUAUUUAUCUAUUAUGAAAGCGUGCAGUAAUAAAGAGCCUUGGAAAAUAUUGCCUCGAAAGAUAUGAUUACAUUCACAAUUUUUUCCACCAUAGUAAAAGUCUCAUAUUUUGGCUAUGAACCUUUAUAAAAUUUAUUAUUAAAAGCAAACAACACGCAACUUAGUUGAACCAAUAUUUAUAUAUUAUAAAAGUGUGCAGUAAUAAAGAGCCUUGGAAAAUAUUGCCUCGAAAGAUAUGAUUACAUUUACAAUUUUUUCCACCAUAGUAAAAGUCUCAUAUUUUGGCUAUGAACCUUUAUAAAAUUUAUUAUUAAAAGUAAACAACACGCAACUUAGUUGAACCAAUAUUUAUAUAUUAUAAAAGUGUGCAGUAAUAAAGAGCCUUGGAAAAUAUUGCCUCAAAAAAUAUGAUUACAUUCACAAUUUUUUCCACCAUAGUAAAAGUCUCAUAUUUUGGCUAUGAACCUUUAUAAAAUUUAUUAUUAAAAGUAAACAACACGCAACUUAGUUGAAUAAUGGUUAAUGGCUAUGUUUGUUUCUCGAAAAACUUGGGAGAAAAUGUAAGGGAAAGAAAAAAAAAAAAAAGUAAAAAAAAAAAAAAUUAAAAUCAAUAAUUUAUUUUUAUUUGUUACUUUGAACUUAUUUACUUAUUUUAACCCAUCGAUAUACAUAUUAAGUAAUUUGAAAAAUACAUAAGAUUUUUACUAGUUUUAAUUAUAUUUGAUUUUCUUUAAUAUUUUCUAUAUCACAACAAAAUAUGAGAAAAUAAUUUUUCAUAGUAUUUUUUUCUUUCCUUAUUAUUUUCCAAGAACCAAAUAUAACCUAAAUUAUUUAGAAACGGUUUUUCAAAGGUUCUUGAAAAAUUUUACAUUUGCAUUUUGAUUUAUAAUGUUUAAAAAUCUUAUAUUAGACUAUAAAUUCUUUUAAAAAUAUGCUAUUAGGAGUAAAGGAAACAAGAACCUUAUAUCAGUAAUGCAGAAAACAAAAAUUUAGAAAAAAAAUUUCUACCUUUACCUUUUGAAACUAGAGAAACUAUAUUUGUUUUAAUUAUAACAAAUAAUCCAAAAAUAGUUUGAUUGAAAAAAAAGGUAAAAGAGAAAAAAAUUAUUAUUAUCAUUAAUAUUUGAAAUUAUCAAAUGUUUUAUUUGUGGGAUAAAAAAUUUCAUUUUUUGUCUAUUAUGUAUUUAUGUUUAUAUUAAAUUUGUUUUCAUUAGUUAUUUUAUAUAUAUUAUUAUUUUGUGUUUAAUGGGAUAAUAUUUAUUUUUUGUCUAUUAUCCAUUUAUGCUUAUAUUAAUUUUUUUUAAUAUAUUAUUAUUUUGUGUUUAAUGGGAUAAUAUUUUUUUUUGUCUAUUAUCCAUUUAUGCUUAUAUUAAUUUUUUUAAUGUAUUAUUAUUUUAUAUAUUAUCAUUUUUUAUUUAAUGUGUCUAAAAAUUAUUAAACAAAUAUGAACACAUGAAAGAGUGAAAAAUUUUAAAUUUAAAAGAUGUUACAAGAGAAAGUGUAGUGAGAGUAUAAAAUAAAUAAGUGUCAAAGACUUAGAUAAGUUAACAUGGAAGAGAAAGGGAAAAAAAAAUUUGACUAAUUGUGUCAAAAACCCCAUAAAGGUUUUUGUGUGAAUCUCAUUCAUUUCAUUUCAUUUCUCCUAUCAUCCUUUAUAAUUUCCUUUUUCAUGUAAACACCGUAAAAGCUUACCCAAGUUGCAAUUAAUUAAAAAAUAUUGCCCUUUCACAUUUUUGUGUUCUCACCUAGUCCACAAAGACAAUCUCAGUGAGUGUCAAUGUUCACAUUGCUUUUAUUGCAAUUCACUUAGUGGUGACAAAGAAAUUUCAUUCAUGGUGGUCUACCCACUAAAUUAAAAUGAUUGAGAUUUGUUUUACCUAAUAGCGUGUGGUUUUUCAAAGAUUCUUAGAGAAUUUUAUCCCAUUCUCAUUUUGAGCAUGUCAUUUUGGUUUUGUCAAACUUUUAUCUAGUUUCAUAAUGAGUCAACAAAUUCAUAAUGCGUAAAUCACACGUAAUUUAAUCUGUUGACUCAUUAUGAAUAUUUUAUUUAACCUUUAAAUUUUCUUUUAGUGAUCAUUUGUGUAUGUGAAGGGUCAUUCUUUUCAUUUUUCAUUUUGUUUGACUUCUCAAAUCUCAUUUUCAUGUAAAACUUUGCAGGAUUUUCCAAAGGCCCUUGAAAAAUAUUGUCUCAUUCCUUAUGAAAUCUUCUAAAAAUCCAUUAUUAUGAAUAAAUAAAGUAUAAGCUUAAUUGAGUGAUCACAUUAUUUAGAACUUGUUUAGGAUUGAUUUUAGAUAAAACAUUCUUAAUUGAUAGUAGUUUUUGUAAUUAGUGUAUUUUCAGUGAUUAUCCAUGAAUCACUCAUGCUGAUUAGCUAAAAUUUUAAAAUUGGUCUUGAAGAAUUUAUCAAACACCUAAUUUCUCUAAGGAAACACUUUCACGUAAUAUAUGAAACAAUUUUAGUUAGUCUUCUCAAGAUCAUUAUCAAACCUAGCUGCUUUUAAAAAAUUUUACAAAUAAUUUUUUUUUUAUGAUUUAUUAUUCUUUAAGUUGGGUUGAUUCUUCUAAGUCUUCUUCUUAGUCUUUUACGUAAAUAUGGUGUAGCUUGGAAAAUGCAAUGAACGAAUCCACAAUUGAUCAACGUUAAUGCUUUUUGUAUUCAAAGUAUUUGAUGGGAAAACCUACCAAACGUGGAAUAUGGGCUGUAGUUGUUGAAUGGAUUUCAAUUGCAUGUUGGAAAUUAUGCCAUAGUCCGUGUUUUUUGUGUUAAUUUAUACUUGAAAGAAGGUUUAUAAUGGGCUGUGGUUGUUCAAUAUUUAUAUUUGCAUUAUAAAAGUGUGUGGUAAGGUUUAAUUAAUUGCAGUGAAUUAAAGAUGGUGUCCUCCGUUAUUAUUUCUACAGCAGUGGUAAUAGUUACCAGUACCAUGAUGAUGAUGUUAUUCUCCCUUGCCAAAGCAAUAUCAUCACCAUCUUCAUCAACUGAUGAGGCAGAGGCUCUGCGCAGCACCGGUUGGUGGAAUUCUACCUCUGCUCAUUGCCACUGGGAUGGUGUAUAUUGCAAUAAUGCCGGAAGAGUGACUGGAAUCGCCCUUAACGGUUCAGGAAAAGAAUUGGGUGAGCUUAGCAAAUUGGAGUUUUCUUCAUUUCCCAGCCUGGUUGAGCUCAACCUUUGUGCCUGUGGACUCAAUGGUAGCAUCCCGCACCAAAUAGGUACUCUUACUCAACUCACUGUUCUUUCUCUCCAUGAUAACAAUCUUACAGGUGAGAUACCUCUGUCCUUGGCUAACCUCACUCAGUUGCUCUACCUCACCCUUUGUUCUAAUCCACUACAUGGUUCGAUUCCUCCUGAAAUUGGGAAAAUGAAGAAUCUGAUUUUUUUGGAUUUGGGUUAUAGUAACCUUAUUGGUGUCAUCCCUUCAUCUUUUGGUAAUCUUACCACUUUGACUACUCUCUAUCUUGAUGGUAAUCAAAUAAGUGGUUUAAUCCCUCCUCAAAUUGGGAAAAUGAAGAAUCUGAAGUCGCUUUUACUUUCUCAUAAUGGACUACAUGGUCCAAUUCCUCCCGAAAUUGGGGGAAUGAAGAAUCUGAAUAAGUUGAAUUUAGGUUAUAACAACCUUACUGGUGUCAUCCCUUCAUCUUUUGGUAAUCUUACCAAUAUGAAUUCUCUUUCUUUUCGAGGUAAUCAAAUCAGUGGUUUUAUUCCUCUUGAAAUUUGGUAUCUUUUGAAUUUAUCAUAUUUAGAUCUCAGUGAGAAUCAAAUCAGUGGUUUCAUCCCCGAAGAAAUAGUAAAUUUGAAGAAAUUGAGUCAUCUAGACAUGAGUAAUAACUUAAUAAGUGGAAAGAUACCUUCACAGUUGGGAAAUUUGAAAGAAGUAAAAUACUUCAAUCUCUCCCACAAUAACCUCUCUGGCACCAUUCCUUAUUCUAUUUCUAGUAACUACAACAAAUGGACAUUGAUUGAUUUAUCAAACAAUCGGUUGGAGGGUCAAACUAGAGCUCCGGUAGAGGCAUUUGGCCACAACAAAGGUCUAUGUGGUGAAAUCAAAGGUCGGCCACGAUGCAAGAAAAGGCACCAAAUCACACUCAUCAUUGUUGUUUCUUUAUCUACAACCUUGUUGCUUUCAAUUGCAAUCCUUGGUUUUCUCUUCCAUAAACGAAGGAUCAGAAAAAAUCAAUUACUCGAGACAACAAAGGUGAAAAAUGGAGAUCUAUUUUCCAUAUGGGACUAUGAUGGUGUGAUUGCUUAUCAAGACAUCAUCCAAGCAACCGAAGAUUUUGACAUCAAAUACUGCAUAGGCACGGGAGGCUAUGGGAGCGUUUACAGAGCACAACUACCUUCCGGGAAGGUGGUUGCCUUGAAAAAACUUCAUGGAUGGGAAAGAGGGGAUCCAACUUACUUGAAAAGCUUUGAAAAUGAAGUUCAAAUGCUAACAAGAAUACGACAUCGUAAUAUUGUGAAACUUCAUGGCUUUUGUCUACAUAAGAGAUGCAUGUUUCUAGUUUACAAAUAUAUGGAGAAAGGAAGCUUGUAUUGUAUGCUAAGGGAUGAAGUUGAGGCUGUGGAAUUGGAUUGGAUUAAGAGGGUGAAUGUUGUUAAAAGCAUUGCUAAUGCUUUAUCCUACAUGCAUCAUGACUGCGACUUGCCCAUCAUUCAUCGAGACAUAUCAAGUAAUAACAUUCUUUUGGACUCUAAGCUUGAAGCUUUUGUUUCGGAUUUUGGCACUGCAAGAUUGUUAGAUAAUGAUUCAUCCAAUCGAACCCUUCUUGUAGGCACUUAUGGUUAUAUUGCACCAGGUAAGCUAGAUUAUAAUCUUCACUAGUUUUCAUUACUUAUGAAUCUUUUCAAUUGUCACACCCUUACAAAAUUCCAAAAGUUUUUUAGAUCGAGAAUUCAAAAUAUUUUAUAAGUUUUCUCUAUAUAAAUAACAUGAAUACUCUUUUUUUUUCUAUAUUUUGCAGAGCUUGCUUAUACUAUGGUUGUGACUGAAAAAUGUGACAUUUAUAGCUUUGGGAUGGUUGCAUUGGAGACAAUGAUGGGAAUGCAUCCAGGAGAAUUUGUCACCUCAUUAUCAUCUUCAUCAACUCAAAACACAACGUUAAAGGAUGUAUUAGAUUCACGUCUUUCAUCUCCUAAAAGUACACAAGUUGCUAAUAACAUAGCUCUUAUAGUGUCAUUGGCGCUCAAAUGUCUCCAUUCUAAUCCACAAUUUCGUCCAUCCAUGCAAGAAGUGUCUUCGAAACUUGUUUCUACAAGGUCAUUCCCACAACCCAUCAGUACAAUAUCACUUUUGCAACUAAAAGAUGAAGUUAUUUAAAUGGCAUGGAGUUGGUAUGUAAUUGGAGUGAAGAUGUUUAUUUUCCAUUUUUCUUUUUCAUGGUAAUGAGAAUUUUAUAAUAUAUGUAUCCCUUCUUUCCUAUUAAUUACUCAAAUGCAAAUUUUCUAUUUGUUUUUCCAAAGCGGCAAUAGUGUAAUGUGAUACUAAGAAUUACAUCAAAUUGAUACACAAUGAUCUAUAAACUUUUAAUGAACCAUGUCAUUCCGAUUAAUAAUUUUUUAUAAUGAUUCUUUUUUGGAGAAAAAUCCUUCUUUUUCUUUUAUCAAUUUUAACAUAUAUACCAUUUUCUCCAUUUUCAUAUUCUAAUCAAUCAAAUUAGUGACAUUUCUUGUAAAUGUGACAAACCUAUUGUCAAAGGCAUUAAAAAAAUUAGGGAAAAAACAAAUUGAAUAAUUUCAAUGUGAUUGUCUCUACAUGAUGAAGAUAAUAAAUUUAUUUUAUUUAUUUUUAAAAUACUGUUUUAUCCAUUUUUCCUAUAUCAUCUAAAAUUUUGUCUAAAAUAAAAUUAUUUGAUUUUGUAUAAGAAUACUUAAAAAUGUCGGUGGGAAUGUGGGAUACUAGGCUGACACUAAAACACCAAAUGACAUACUUGUGAUACAAUAUUAAGAAAUUAUUUCAUAAUAUUUUAUAAUUUGUUUCUACUAUUUAGUCACCCAUAAAUAUCAAUUUUAAAAAAAUUUAAUGAUUAAAGAAAAUUAAGUGAGAUAUAAUUAAAUAACUCUAAAAAUUUUAUUUUCCCAUCAUGGAAUAACAGAAUUGAUAUUCAUACUAAUGAUUUUAUUAAGAUAAGAUACCUAGUCGAUAAAAUGUCCUUGAUUUUAUAUAAAAUUAGACAUUAUAUUUACUUAAAUUAUUUUCAUAAUAGUAGCAUAUUUGUUAAAUAUAUGAAACUAUUCAAAUUGAAUAAUUUAGGUAAACUAUGAAUAUUAUAAGUACGCCAUUAAUGCUCCUCGUUUUAAAAGAAGCAAUAUUUCAGUUUCAUAUCUAAAGUUUUUUUUUCCAACUCCAAUUGGUGUAUAUAGACCCGAUUUUGUAGUGAAGCUUGGCAGCUAGUAGGAUUUCCUUCACAGAAAAGAAUGGACAGAUGAAAUAAACAGAAACCAAACCAAGAGAUGAGUGUGGUGUAUUCUCAUUCCUUGGCUAGAAUCCCCACAUCACAGGUACUGCCUGUUAGCUUUUUUCUUAUAAUGUGUGGCCAUAUACAAUUAUAUUUGUAUGAAUAUUAUUUAAGGGUAUCAAUUGAUAGGUUGGUGAAUCAAUUGAUUGGGCAUCCAAGAGUCUUAUGUAUGGAAGAUUCAAAUUUAUAAAUGGGGAGUUAGAAAAUUUAACUCAUAUGAAUGUGGUGUUACAACUUUUGUAACCCCAUCAUUAUGAAAUUUAUUUGUACAUUAUGUUUAUGAGUAAUGGAGGAAAAUGGAAAAGUAUAACCUAUGCAAUUAUAUAGAUGCAUUCAAGUUCAUAACCCACCAUUACCCAUUGAUUUGUACAUAAUGGGUGUAAAUAAUGAGUAUAACUCUCAUAUAGUCUUUGAUGGGAAGACUAAGAGAUGUACAAUUUUUUUUAUAAGUUCAAGUCCCAAGCCACACUCUCAUUCUUAUAUCAUUUUUGUUAUUUAUUUUUAACAACAUACACCAUACAAAUGACUCAUCCACUAUAUGAGAGUAGUGAGUUGAAGACCUUGACAAUAUAAUUCACAAGGUGACUUAAUCUCACUUCAUGGUUCAAGGUAAGAAUAUGAUCAUUAUUUUAGUAUUUACAUUUAUUUUGUUUUAUGCAUCCAAAAUUGUUUUUUAAAAUAAUUAUUUCCGCAUAAAGUUUAUAAAAGUUUGGUUAACAAUUGGUAUCAGAGCCAACCAAUUUUGGAUCAUAAAACAUAUUUUUCCGUUUUUUGAUUAUUGUUUGAUCUUAUGGACAACUAAAAUAUAUAUGAUGUGAUGCAUAUGAAUGAUGUAGUAACACAACAUUUUCAAUGUUUCAUGAUUUCAAUCAUAUCUAUUGCAUGAUUUUAUGAAAGUUGAAAACAUAUGAUUAGUAAUUUAAAUGUGUGAUUAUGGAAAUCUCAAGAAAUAGUUUUUCUAGUAUGCAUGUUUAUUUACUUGUUUGUUUGAAGAUGAUCAUAUAUAUAUAUAUAUAUAUGUGUGUGUGUGUGUGUGUGUGUGUGUGUGUUGUUCAACUUAUGAAACAAGUGUUGAUCAACCCAACGGAGGAUCAUCACCAUGUUUGAUUAUAUGAAAAGAGUUUAAUAAUAAAAAGUUGAUGAAGUUUUUACCCAACGGUAUUAAACUUCUUUACGUUUCAAUACUUUUAUUUUAAUAAUUAUGUCAUAUCUAUAUGAUUUAUGAAUUAUUAUAAUUCAACCCAACGGAGGGAUUAUAAUAAUGUACUUUUGAAUUAUAUGAUUGUAGUUCGGUCCAACGAAAGAACUAUGAUAUAAUCUCUUAUGUUUAUAAUUAAUGUGAUAUCUAACUUAAUUUUUGUUGUAAUUAGAUUAUUGUAAAGUGUGGUGUUAAAUAUUGUCAUGAUAUAAAAUAAUUUUCCUUUUGAAUUAAUCCUAUUGCUAUUAUAGGCUAUUUGUCUGGUAUUGAACAAUUAAGUGGGGCAAAUUUUAAAAAAUGGAAGGAACAAAUUGGAAUUAUUCUUGGUUGCAUGGAUUUGGACUAUGCCUUAAGAGAACCUACACCCACAAAGCCUACUUCUGAAAGGACUAAUGAACAAAAGGUUUUAUAUGAAAAGUGGGAGCGCUCUAAUCGCAUGAGUCUAAUGAUUAUGAAAGGUUCAAUCACUCCUGCAAUUCGUGGAGCAAUCCCGGAUUCAGAUAAUGCAAUAACCUAUAUUAAAUCAGUUGAAAAACAAUUCUUAGGAACUUCCAAGUCCUUGGCAAGUACUCUUAUGAUCAAAAUGAUAACAAUGAAAUAUGAUGGUCAUAGUGGUGUACGUGAGCACAUCAUGAAGAUGAGUGACAUGGCUUCUCAAUUGAAAGGAAUGGACAUGACAAUUUCUGAAGGUUUUCUUGUUCACUUCAUAAUGACUUCCCUUUCUUCACAAUUUGGUCAUUUCAAAAUUAAUUAUAAUACUCAGAAGGAUAAGUGGAAAAUGAGUGAACUAAUUGCCAUGUGUGUUCAAGAAGAAGAGAGGCUUAAAGUGGAAAAGCCCGAUAUGGCUCACCUCACCAUUGGUCCAAAUAAAAAAUCCUUCAAGAAAGGUAAAGGUAAGAAAAAUAAGCAAGGUAAUGAUGUAUCUCACAAUGGGCAAAAGUAUGAAAAUAAGAUACAAUGUUAUUUUUUCCACAAGAAAGGUCACAAAAGAAGAGAUUGUUCUGGCUUUAAGCCUUGGUUGGAAAAGAAAGGUAAAACUCAAUGCUUAGUGUCUUAUGAAUCUUAUUUAGUUGAUAUACCACCAAACUCUUGGUGGAUUGACACUGAUGCAAGCAUUCACAUAACGAAUUCAUUGCAGGGAUACCUUACAAGCAAGAUACUAAGUAAAGGAGAGCGAACCAUUACUUUGGGAAAUGGAACAGAAGUGGAAAUUGAGGCUAUUGACACUCUUUGUUUAAUUUUGGAUACUGGUUUCAUUAUGGAUUUAGUAGAUAUAGUUUAUAUUCCUGUUUUUAUUAGAAACCUAAUUUCAGUUCCAAGACUUGAUUCUUAUGGUUAUGAAUUAAAGUUUGGAAAUAAUGGAGUUUCCUUGUUCUAUAAUUCUUGUUUGGUUGGCUCUGGCACUUUACAUGGUAAUCUUUAUUCAUUGAAUUUAGAUUGCAAAUAUUCACAGUCUCUUUUAUCUUAUCAUGUGUAUGAAUUCUCUAAAAAACGAAAUCAAGUGAAUGAAAAUUCAUCCAUAUUGUGGCAUAAGCGAUUGGGUCACAUUUCAAGAGAAAGGAUGGAACAUCUUAUUAAAGAUGAAAUUUUGACUUCACCUGAUUUUUCUGAUUUUACUAAUUGUGUUGAAUGCAUAAAGGGAAAACACACUAAGGUUAAGAAAAAGGGUGCCUCAAGGGCUACUAAAUUGUUAGAAUGUAUUCAUUAUGACAUUUGGGGACCUUAUUCAAUUCCAACUAUCAAUGGACAUAAGUACUUUAUUAGUUUUAUUGAUGACUUUUCAAGGUAUUCUUAUGUGUAUCUUAUUCGUGAAAAAUCUGAAGCAUUAGAUGUUUUUAAGAUUUAUAAAGCUGAGGUUGAAAAUCAACUCAAUCGGCGAAUUAUAAGUGUAAGAUCUGAUAGAUGUGGUGAAUAUUAUGGUAGGUUCACCAAAUCAGGUCAACAUCUUAGUGCUUUUGCCUUAUUUUUAAGAGAGCAUGGUAUCAUUGCAAACUACACAAUGCCUGGAACACCAGAGCAAAAUGGUGUAGCAGAGCGACAAAAUCGUACUCUAAUUGACAUGGUGAGAAGUAUGAUGAGUGACUCAACCUUGCCUGAAUUUUUGUGGGGUGAAGCAUUGAAAACUGCUGUUCACAUUCUCAAUCGUGUUUUUAGUAAGGUUGUACCCAAAACUCCUUAUGAGUUAUGGGUGGGUAGGAAACCGAAUUUGAAUUAUUUACAUGUAUGGGGAUGUCCAGUUCAAGCUAAAAUUUUUAACCCACAAAUCAAGAAAUUGGAUUCUAAAACCAUAAGUUGCAAUUUCAUUGGCUAUCCUGAAAGAUCAAAAGGUUUUAGAUUUUAUUGUCAUGGUCAGGGCCCUAAAAUUUUUGAAACUAGACAUGCUGUGUUUUUGGAAAAUGAAUAUUUUAGUGGGAGAACUGAGCUUAAAAAGUUAACCUCUAAUGAAGUAUCAACACCAAUGAUGGAAUAUGGUGUGACUCAAGAGGUUUCUUGUAAUGAAAAUGAGAAUGUCCCAACUACAGAAGCAUCUUUACGUAGAUCACAAAGAGAGAAAAAACCUGCUAUAUCAAAUGACUAUGAAGUUUAUCUUAAUGAGUGUGAUUAUGACGUUGGCUUGGAAAGUGAUCCUACUUCUUAUGAUCAAGCCAUCAAUAGUGAAAAUUCAACUCUAUGGCUUUAUGCUAUGGAAGAAGAGUUGAAAUCAAUGAAAGAUAAUGAAGUUUGGGAUCUUGUAAAAUUGCCUAAAGGAGAUAAAACUAUUGGUUGCAAAUGGAUUUUUAAAACCAAACAUGAUUUUAAGGGCAAUGUCGAAAAAUACAAGGCUAGGUUAGUUGCAAAAGGAUACACUCAAAAAGAAGGAAUCGACUAUAAGGAAGCAUUUUCUCCUGUUUCCAAGAAAGAUUCCUUAAGAAUAGUCAUGACUUUAGUAGCUCAUGUUGACUUAGAGUUACAUCAAAUGGACGUUAAAAUUGCAUUUUUGAAUAGUGACUUGCAUGAAGAGGUUUAUAUGGAUCAACCCGGGGGUUUUUAGGAUAAAAGCAAGGAACAUAUGGUAUGUAAACUUAAAAAGUCCAUAUAUGGUCUAAAACAGGCUUCUAGAUAAUGGUAUCUUAAGUUCCAUGAAAUUCUCAUCACUUUUGGUUUCAAAGAGAAUCUAGUGGAUCAAUGUAUAUACCUUAAGAUCAGUGGAAGCAAAAUUUGUAUUAUUGUAUUGUAUGUUGAUGAUAUGUUGCUUGCUAGCAACAAUAUGAGAAUGAUUUUGGAGACCAAACAAUUUUUAUCCAAGAAUUUUUAUAUGAAAGAUCUUGGUGAAGCAUCCUAUGUGAUGGAAAUUGAAAUUCAUCGAGAUAGGUCACGUGGAUUAUUAGGAUUAUCCCAAAAGAACUAUAUUGAAAAAUUUCUUAAAAGAUUCAACAUGCAAAAUUGUUUUAGUAGUGUUGCUCCUGUUGUGAAAGGGGACAUAUUUUGUGAACUUCAAUGUCCCAAAAAUGAUCUUGAAAAGAAACAAAUGGAAAAAAUUCCUUAUGCUUCAGCAGUAGGAUGUAUCAUGUAUGCUCAAGUCUACACUCAACUAGACAUAGCUUAUGUGGUAGGCAUGCUUGGUCGAUACCAAAGUAAUCCAGGUAUUGAUCAUUGGAAAGCAGUUAAAAAAAAGUAUUGCGUUAUUUGCAAGGGACUAAGGACUACAUGCUUACAUACAAAAGAACAGAUAAUCUAGAGAUUAUUGGUUAUUCUGAUUCUGAUUAUGCUGGCUGUAAGGAUACUAGAAAGUUUACAUCUGGGUAUAUUUUAUCAAAUGGACCUAUUUCAUGGAAAGGUCGUAAGCAAUCAUUGAUAGCUUCUUCUACAAUGGAGGCAGAAUAUGUAGCAUGUUAUGAAGCCACAUGUCAUGUAAUAUGGUUGAGAAACUUUGUCUCAGGGCUUCAUAUUAUUGAUUCAAUAAUGAGACCAUUGAGAAUAUAUUGUGAUAAUAGUGGUGCUGUCCGAUUCUCUAAAAAUAAUAAGACUACUGGAGGAUCAAAGCACAUUGAUAUUAAGUAUUUGGUUGUAAGGGAGAAAGUUCAACAUAGAGUUGUCUCUAUUGAACAUAUUAAAAAUACACUCAUGUUGGCAAAUCCAUUGACAAAAGGUCUUCCACCUAAGCUUUUUAUGGAUUAUGUUGCAUGCAUGGGCUUGGUGGCAAGUUUGUCAAUUUUAGAUUGAUUGAAAGUGUAAUGUAUGUGAUCACAUUAUAAUGAGAAUAAAGUUCUUGAUUAUGAUAUAUUGAUGAUUAUUAUGUUACUUUUAUACAUCAUUUUUGUGCACAAUCUAGAUGUUUAAAAGUUGAUGAGACCAUUAUGUGAAUGAAUUAGCAUUAUCACCUUAAUGUUGCUAAUGUCAUAAAAGUCAUUGAUUCAUGUUAAUGGAGGUGUUAGUACUAUAAUCCUUGAAGAAUAUUGGAUCGUUGUAUGAUCCAAUCAUUUCAAUGAUUUGGUGUUAGUGGUUCCAUGAAACAUAAUCUUAAAGUAAAGGAUGCCUAUUUUGAGAAAUUGUUAUGGCCAUAUUAUGUUUUAAUCUAUUACAAAUAUAAUUAUGUGGGCCAAGUGGGGGAUUGUUAGUUUUUUUCCCAUAAUGUGUGGCCAUAUACAAUUAUAUUUGUAUGAAUAUUAUUUAAGGGUAUCAAUUGAUAGGUUGGUGAAUCAAUUAAUUGGGCAUCCAAGAGUCUUAUGUAUGGAAAACUCAAAUUUAUAAAUGGGGAGUUAGAAAAUUUAACUCCUAUGAAUGUGGUGUUACAACUAUUGUAACCCUAUCAUUAUGAAAUUUAUUUGUACAUUAUGUUUAUGAGUAAUAGAGGAAAAUGGAAAAGUAUAACCUAUGCAAUUAUAUAGAUGCAUUCAAGUUCAUAACCUACCAUUACCCAUUAAUUUGUACAUAAUGGGUGUAAAUAAUGAGUAUAACUCCCAUAUAGUCUUUGAUGGGAAGACUAAGAGAUGUACAAUUUUUUUUAUAAGUUGAGGUUUCAAGCCACAUUCUCAUUCUUAUGUCAUUUUUUGUUGUUUAUUUUUAACAACAUACACCAUACAAGUGACCCAUCCACUAUAUGAGAAUAGUGAGUUGAAGACCUUGACAAUACAAUUCACAAGGUGACUCAAUCUCACUUCAUGGAUCAAGGUAAGAAUAUGAUUAUUAUUUUAGUAUUUACAUUUAUUUUGUUUUAUGCAUCCAAAAUUGUUUUUUAAAAUAAUUAUUUCCGCAUAAAGUUUAUAAAAGUUUGGUUAACACUGCUCUUCUUCACUCCAAAACCAGGUUCUUUUCUCUUUUCUCUUUUCCUGCUUCUCAAUUCCCAUAAUUCUCAUUCAUCUUCAAUGCUCUUAAUCAAGUCCAAGAGUUGCAGAUUGAUUUCAUGGGAAGUCAAUUCAAUUAUGAAUGACAAUAAUAAUAGUGGCAAGAAAGGUCAAUUGUAGUUCAUUCUCGAGUCACAAGGUCAAAUAUUGCAUUGGGUUGACUCAUCUAAGUCUUCUUCUUGGUCUUUUAUGUAAACAUGGCGUAGCUUGGAAAAUUAUACUAAUAAAUCCAUCAUUGAUCUCAACAUCAAUAUUUUUUUCUUCAAAUUAUUUGAUAGGAAGCCUCCCCAACGUGGAAUAUUGAAUUUAGUUGUUUAAUGGACUUCAAUCGCAUGCUCUUUGAAAUUAAGCCCCAGUCCAUAUUUUUUGUGUGUGUUCAUAUGGUAACCUGGCCUGUUAAAGAUGUAUUUCAUUUUCUUGAAAAGAAAUAAUUAGUGCAUACAUAUUUUGAGAAGAGAAAAAUUAAGAUUCAAUAUAUUUACAUUAUUAAUUUAUUAAAUAAGUAAAUAAUUAAUUAAUCAAAUAAUUUUUCAAAAAAUUAAAUAAUUAAUUAAUCAAAUAAUUUUUCAAAAAAUUAAAUAAUUAAUUAAUCAAAUAAUUUUUAAAAAAUUAAAGAAAAUAUUUUUGUUAAUUAAAAAAAUUUAUUUAUAAAGGGUUUAGAUAGAAAACAAAAAGAGGUUUUAAAUGUAAAGUUGCAUGGAGAAGUGAAUUGUAUGGUUUGGACAAUUUCAUAAAUAAAUCCAUCAUCAUCAUUGUAAGAUGGUUUACCCUUCUCAAAAUCAUUAUCAAACCUAGGUGUUUUUAAAAAAAUUUAUAAAGAUUUAUAUAUAUAUAUAUAUAUAUAUAUAUAUAUAUAUAUAUAUAUAUAUAUAUAUAUAUAUAUAUAUAUAUAUAUAUAUAUAUAUAUUUUAUGAUUUAUCAUUCUUUAAAUUCUGUUGACUCUUCUAAGUCUAUUUAUUGGUCUUUUAGGUAAAUAUGGUGUACCUUGAAAAAUUCUAUCCAUCAUUGAUUGAGAAGAUGUAUUUCAUUUUCUUGGAAAUAAAUAGUUAGUGCAUACAUAUUUUGAACACUUAACCGAGGAGAAAUAUUAAAUUAAAAAGAAAAAUGGCACCAUGCACUUAUAAGAUUCAAUAUAUUUGUUUAUUUGUUAAAUAAGUAAAUAAUUAAUUAAUCAAAGGCUUUAAAAUAUUUUAUAGAAAAAACUUUUGUUGAUUAAAAAAUAUAUUUUUCAAGCAUCCAUCUAACGUGAAAUCAUGGGAUGCACCUUUUUUUUUUCCACGGAUUCAAUUACUCUUAGAAAAUUAUCCCUUAUUCCUUAUUUUUUGUGCUCAUAUGGUGACCUAUUGAAGAUGUAAUUUGUAUAAAAUACAAUUUUUUAGCCUUAUUUAUAUUUAUAUUUUUCUGUGAUUUAAUAUAUCCCAAUAUUAUUUUAAAACACUUAUUUUUUAUACUUUACUAUAAGUUUAGAAAAAAAAUUUAAAUUUUUUUAUACUUUACCUUGUCAUGUUACAAUGCCCUAACCUUUUCCAAAGGUGGCUUUGGAAAUUAUGGCCCCAUCCACAUUUUGAUUUGUCAUGUUUACAAGUCAUGUAUCUGGGAAUCAAUCCUUUCAAAAACCCACUAUUUGGAGUCACUUUCGGAAACCAUUCCCUUCUCCAUAUUUUUGUGUUCACAUGGUCAGUUGUUGAAGAUGUAUUUGAUUUUUCCUUUUAAAAGAAAUAAUUAGUGCAUAGACAUCUUCAACAUCUAACCAAGGAGAAAUAUUAAAUUAAAAAGCAAAAUGGGUCAACCUCAAGACCCAAGGUCCGAGGAACCCAAGCCUUAACAACCGAUGAAGGGAUGACCUCAAAACCGAAGGUUCUUGCGUACUCUUCGUACUCAAAGGAAGACCUUGACAAAGAGUCGAAGACAUAAAGUGGAAAAUGAAGGUUGACUAACUUGGCUUGCAGGGAAAUGAAGUGGCCUUAUAACAAACACGCACGAUUUCAUAUUCUCAUAAGAUUCAACGUAUUUGUUUAUUUGUUAUUUAAUUAGUUAAUUAAUAAAGUCUUUAAAAAAAAUUAAAGAAAAAACUAUGAAAAAUAUAAGGAAAAUUGGAUAAGAAGUAACCCAAUAAAAAUAUUUUAAGAAAUAUGAGUUACUUUGUAGUCUUUUAAUAAAAAAAUAAAAUACAUUUUAUUUAACAUAAGGAGAUUUAUCUCCAAAAAUUACACCACCUUUCAUUAAAUAAUUUUAUUUUAACAUAAGUUUCUAACAAAAAAACUUCCCAAGAAAAACAUCAAAUAACAUUGUAAAAUCAAUAUUGUAAGUAUGAUAUGAUUUUCCUUAGGUUUCCUCAAUAGCCUGAGAGACUAGUGAUUUGGAACCAGUUUCUAAGCUUUCUGGAGCAUCCCCAACACUUUUGUGAUCAAACUUGAAACUAUAGCACUUGGUCCCUUUGAUCAUGCCAAUCACAUUUGUUGAUCCCUGUGGCUGCUAAAUGUUUUGAGUCUCUAAAUAUCCGCUUCCUUUCCAAAACUCGAAUGAACAAAACUAAGAACUUUAAUGCAAUCACCUUUCUAAAAAAAAUAAUAAUAAUAAAAUUGAAAAAAGAAAAAAUCAACAUGCAUGUUUAAAUAAUCACUCACUUCAUCUAUGUACAUUAAUUUAUUCCCCCUUGUGUUGUGAUCUAUUCAGAACUCAUCUUCUGAAUCACUAGAAGAAGAGUUCCUGGACUUGUCUGGCAUGAAAUUUGGCGGCAAGUUUGGGAACUUCACUGGAAUUCUUGAUGGUGGUGACUUUGUUGAUGAUGGCCCCAAACUUGCUGUGGUUGUUUUCCUCCGUUGUAGAUUUCGAGCAAUAUCAACACAGACCUGAUCAACCAUACCCAGAAAAUCUUUUACUAUAAUAAAUAAUUGAAGCGGGCUUGCCUCUUUGUUCUUUGAAGAUCGUGGUUGAUAAUAUUCUGUUGUUCUCCUUAAGAGCUCCAUUACCCUUGUUUGCUCUUCUCUCACCUCCCUUAAUUCUUCGCCUGCUGCUUCGAGAAAACUUUUCAUCUUCCUCAAAAAUCCUCCAUCACUGUUGGCAAAUGGUGCCACAAAUUGCUUGAUUUCAGUGGAAUGGGCUGUGAGAGUUGAACAUACGCCACCAAAGGCAUUGUAGUCCAUUUCAGCUACUUUCUUUACAUUAGAGAAUUCAGCACUUAGGCUUCCUACCACUGGUAAACCAAUCAUUAUGUAUUCCUUUUCUCUAUCCUCUCUUGAUGCCGAGUUCUCAGAAUACAGGCUACUGUUGCUGCUGUGACUCAAGCUGCGAUUUCGGUUCAAAACACAACGUUUGCCCUCAGAACGGACUACUUCUUCCACAACAAAGUGAAGUAACGUAGUUUUUCCAUCAGUGCUUUUAACAUCAGAAAGCUUUUGAAGAGCAGCGAGGUUAAAAGCUUGGGCAUUCCCUCUGGAAGUUCCAGCAUUCAUGCGAUUGCCUGCCUCGAGUAUGGCUUCCAAAAGUUUUAAGAAAAGUCCACGAGUUCGAAGCUCUUUGCAACCCAAUUCAAGUGUUUGUAAACAUUCCCUGAGAUGGAGAAUCUCUGAGUCAUAAUUCGAUCUGAAAAACAUGGCACUAAGACGUAUGAAUGCUGAUGGAACAGCUUUUAGGAUAUGGUAGAGGAAGGAUUCAGCAUCAGCCAGUCUUGUGGGGUCUCCCUCGAAUGCAAGGAUUUGGGAUUCUUCUUCUUUAGUUGGGGCAAUUUUUGUAAGCUUUUCAAGAGCAUCUGCAUUCAGGUCUUGGCCCUUAAUGAGUGCGUUGAGGAUCUCUUUUCGCGAGAUUGCUAAAGAUCGGAGUACAAUUGCUGUGUUUUGGGACUUUCGACUAUCAAGGAUGAAAAUCUGAGCCGAUUGAAUUGAGCUGGCACCAUUUGGGUUGUUAUGGUUUAUCUGAGGAGAUCUCCCAUUAGCAGCAACAUUUCCAAACAGUGCAUCCAUGAGGUCACCAUCGAAGCUGAGAAAUCAAUUGAAAAUUUUGGAAAUCCAGUAAAAUACCAAACAGAGGUGGUUAUGUAAUUCAAGAGACCAAAUUGGUAAAAUAUUACUACCUGAAAGAACCGCCAUUAAUUUUGUGCCACACCAUUGAAUGAUCGGCGUUAGUGUUCACUUUAUCCCAAUGCAAUGGCUUCAGCGCCACCCGACCAUUUCCAGUCCCUGCCUUGCUAUAUCCAGAUGAAGACUCUCCUAGUUUACUGCCAUUAGGCAUCCCUUUGGUCACCGAUGAGGCUUCUUUUGAUGAUGAAGUAAAACCACCCGCCUUAGGUGAGGGAGGUGGUGGUGGUAUGGGAUUUAUCUUAGCUGGGAUUGGUGGUGAGGGAGGUGGUGGUGGUAUGGGAUUUAUCUUUGCUGGGAUUGGUGGUGAGGGAGAUGGUGGUGGUGGUGGUAUGGGAUUUAUCUUAGCUGGGAUUGGUGGUGAGGGAGGUGGAGUAGCACUUGGCUUCUGUGGAAUUGCCAAUAUAGGUGGUGGGGGUGGGAGAGAUGUGGAUGAUUGAAUUGUUGAUUCAGUUUUUCCCACAGCCUCAAGAGAAAUCUCAGAAGAUUGUGACGAAGGAGGGGGGGCAGAAAACCAAUUCAGAUUUUCCACUUCUUCUUGAACUUCAUCAUAGGAAGUUGAAGACUUUCCUCGUAGCAAAGGAAUUUCUUGUAUAGGCUCAGACUUCGCCCUCCCAUCUCCAUUCCGACUCAUCCUUUUUUCUUCAUGUUUCAGAUUAUGUAGAGCCUGUUUAGGGAAACUAUUCUUCCUGUAAUCACCUUCAAGCUUCUUCCAAUAAAGCACGUCCAAACCAUUCUCAUCGACAAUCAGCCCAUUUAGAUUUCCAUUGAAUCGUGAGAACUCAAUGUGACUCACCACAUUUUCACCUCCACCUCGUGGAUCAUUUUUACCUUUCUGGCUUCUCCCCCGUGCAACCGUGUACUUUUGGAACAGAAUGAAGAACAACCCGGAGACAACUAUUGUGGUGGCUGCUGUUACAGCGACUGCCUUAGCAACAGCAUAGCUUGACGAUGACUUUGAUGAUGGAAUUGAUAGUUGGGAAAUUCGAGGAUUGGGAAUUGGAUUUGUUGGAUUUGGAGGAGGCCGGAACGGAUAGAAAGUUUCAAUAUUCCGAGGGGAAUUGGGUUGACAAGAAGAUAAAUGAAGAAUAGAAAAAAGGGAGACAAAAAACAGGGAGAUGAGAGGGCAUGGCUGAAUCACAGCAGCCAUGGAGAAAAGUUGGAUACAAUUGCAGAGAGGAUUAAAACGCACUCUGCUAGUCUUUUCUUUAUUUCAGGCAAUGCUGGUUGAUGUUUUGUCUUGUGCUUUUUGGGGUUUGGUCGUUGACAGUUUCAAACAGGAGUAGUUAGUUGGACCUGUUCUCAUUUUGGUAUUUCCCGGGCUUUUGUAUUUGAAAAAUCUACGAGCCUCAAUUGAAUUUGGAGGAUUCUUUUAUGAAUCUGAGGUGAAACAAAUUCAAACUUCAUCCCAGUAUUGAUUUUGGAAUUGAGUCGGUCUGAUUUAAAGCUUAUAUAUUAAAAAUAUUUAAUUACAAAGGUUUUUUAGUCUUUUUAGACGGAAAUAAUAUGGAUUGCUUUCUUGAAGCGUAAACUUGCAGCAAGGGAAGUGAUUGUCCUAGUCAUUGUCAUUGUCAUAGACGAGUCUUUUGUAGUGCUAAAAGACACAGAGCUGGGUGGUCGGCGACGACCCCAAUAUAAGACUUGAGCCCUGUGCUAAAAGGAGUUGCUUGACUUUGUGUGCUUCCAGGAAACAUUGAUUUCCAGGAAAUUAACUCUAAAAAAUAUAAUAAAUUUAUAAGGCCUUCAUUGAUAAAAUUAAUAUUAAUAAUAAUUAAGUGUAUUUAUAAUAAAUUUCAAGAGGUUUCAAUGAAAUUAACUCUAAAAAUUGAAAUAAUUAAUAUAUUUUAAAAAAAUUUAAAUGAAAAAUAUGGAUGAAAAUAAAAUAACAUAUAAAAUAUAAACCAUCCAUCUUUGAUACAAAGGACAAAAAUUUUGGAGAAAAAUGUUUCAUCAUUCCCUUGAUAAAAAAACUUACAUUUGUUUUAACCAUAAUAAUAGAAGAAAAAAAAGGGUAAAAGAGAAAAUGGAAGGUGAAAAAUGACGCAAAUAUAUUAAUUUCAUAUAUGCAUUCUGUUAUUUUUUUAAAAUUUAUAAAAAUAUUAAAAUAAGGAUAUUUUAGUUAUUAUGUUUUAAAAAAGUAACCAUGCUCCCUAUCUAAAAUAAAAUACAUUUUAAGUUUGUUUGUUUUGAAAAACAAGUUUUUCAAAUAUUUCAAUUCUAUUGCACCACCUCCCGAUUUUUUCAAAAAUACAUACGUAGAAGAUAGAAAGAGUUUUUAUCUCAUAUAUUAAAAAUAUUUAAAUUAGGAAGGUCUUUUAGAUAGGAAAGAAAAUCAAAUUAUGUGAUGAAUAAUUGAAUAUAAAUUGUCCCUUUUCAGACGUAAACUUGGUUUGUUAGGUUAGAAGAUAGCCAGAUGGGUGGUCAGUAAGAGAAUCAUGUGGACACCUAUAUUAUAGACUGAGAUUGAAAAAGAGUUGCUAGUUUUUUUACGGGAAGAGUCUUUGAGUCAGUCUGGAACUAUCUAGGAUAGUUUUUUGUUCUCUACGAAUAAAAAAUAUAAAAAAAAGAAUGUUUGAUAAUUAAAAUUGUUUUAUGUUUUAUAUUUUUAAGAACCGAAAAGAAGAUGUUUUUAAAAAACAUCUUCUAAUUAUUUUAUAUUAUUUUUAUAUGUUUUUUUAAAGUUAUUUUAAGAAAUAAUUAUACAAAUAUGUAAAAUGAUUAAAAAUAAAAUACUAGAUAUAAAAAUUAUUUUUAAAAUAUGUUUUAAAAUAUUAAAAACAUGUUAAAAACAUUUUAGGUAUUCAAAUAGAAUUUUGUUUUACAAAAAUCAAAGAACGGUUUUUAAAAAUUGUUUUUAAAAACUAUUUUUCAAAAUUCUUUUUGAAAGCAGUUACCAAACAUACCAUUUUUUUGCAUUGAGAAGUGUUUUUGUUUUUUGAUAUUUUGUAAAACAAAAAAUUUAUUUGUUAAUUUGAAAUAUUUUUGUGUUGAAUAUGAAAUAUUUUUAACCUAUUUUUAUUUUUUCGUAUUUUUAAAUAUAUUUUAAAAACAAUUUUUGUUUGUAGUAUUUUAUUUUGAAUUAUUUUUCACAUUUAUAUAAAUAUUUUUUUAAAUAGUCAUAAAAAAUAAAUUAAAAAAAUUAAAGGAUAUUAUUUAAAAUACCUUAUGUUCUAUUUUUAAAAAUAAAAACUAUUUUUAUUUUCCAUUUAUCAAAUGUAAUUUUUUUCCUUCCGAAAACAAAAAAUUGUUUUCAAAAAUAGUUACUAGAGAAUGCCCUAAGUACCAAAGUAUUUUGUGGAAGAAUAUAAGGUAAAUUUUUUAUCUUUUGUAAAAUUUUUAUUUUUAAACAUAUAAAAUAGAAAAUAUAUCCAUAUGUAAUUGUAGUAAUUAUUAUAAAUGUUUUAUUUGAAUUUUAGAUAAUUUAAAAAAAUUUCCUAAAAUUUUAUUUAACUUUUAUAAUUUGUUAAGGUCUAGGUUUUUGUCAAGUCUUCAUCUACAUUUAUGUAAAAUUAUGUAGGUUUUCAAAGAUUCUCGGAAAAAUUUAUUUCAUUCUCAUUUUGAUUAUACUGGUUUGUUUUUGUCAAGUCUUUGUCUAGUUUUAUGUAACAUUUUGUAGUUUUCUAAAAAAUCUUGGAAAAUUUUAUUCCAUUCUCAUUUUGAUUGUGUUGUUUUGUUUUUGUCUUCAUCUAGUUUGGUGAGGAGUCAAUAAAUUCAUAACGCGUAAAUCAUAACUUAUUUAAUUUGUUGACUAAGUUAAUAAAUAUGAUUUAAUAAUUUAAUUUAAGUAAUUAAAUAGAUUAAACAUCUUUGAUAAAAUAAUCUAAUAUCAUAAUUUAAUAUAAAAAAUAAUUUUAAGUAUUAAGUCAAAAUGCUUACUCAUUCUUAAUUUUAAAUCUUUUUUACCUAUUAUGCUCACAUGAAAUCUAAUACAAAAAAUUUUAUAAUCUAACUUUGGGUUUUUUUUUCUUUAAUGUUUCAUUAAUUUGAACUCUUAACUAAACAUAAAUAUUUAAGUGCAUAUUUAUUUUUAUAAUGAUAAGUAUUAAAACAAUAUAAAUUAAAUAAUGUAAUAAUUUUUAAAUUAUAAAUAAUAAGAUAGAUAGUGUUUUUAUGUAAAUAAAAUAAAAUACUAUAUUUUUUGUUUUGUUUUAAAUAUGUCUUCACACUUAAAUAUUAUAUAUGUUUUCAAAUAUUAGUUCAUUUAAAUUUAAACUUGUCCUCAUUUCUUUUGAUGAUAUCAAAUAUAAAAGAUAAAAUGUUAUUAAAAGUUUGAAUUAUAUUUAUAUUUCAUAGUUUUUUUACAUUAUUGGUUUGACCACAGUUCAAUUAUCAGUUCCAAUCAAUAAAUCGGUAAUUUUUUUUAUUCAAUGACUGGUCUAGUUCUAAAAACAUUGAUUUAAUGUAUUAAAACAAUUUUAAUAUUUAAAGUAAAAAUAAAAUAUUAUGUUUAUUAAAUAAUAAGUAUUAAGUUUUAUUAGUGAUUAUUUAAAUUUUUAAAAGUGGUUUUAAGAAUUUGUCAAACACCUAAUUUAUCUCAAAAAACACUUUCAUGUAUCACAUAUGAGAGACUUUUAACUUUUUCAAAAUCAUUAUCAAACAUACUUAUGAAAAAUUUUACAAAGAUUUUUUGGUACAUAUUUUUUGUAAGUUGUCAUUGUUUACAUUGGGUUGACUCUUCUAAGUCUUCUUCUUGGUCUUUUAGGUAAACACAGCGUAGCUUGGAAAAUUAUAUGAAUAAAUCCAUCAUUUAUCUCAACAUCAAUAUUUUUUUCUUCAAAUUAUUUGAUAGGAAACCUCGGAAAAUAUUGCCUUGAAAAAUGUGGUUGUAUUCACAUUUUUUCCACGAUAGUAGAGGUCUCAUAUUUUGGCUAUGAACUUUUUGGAAAAUCUAUUAUUAGAAGUAAACAACACGUAACUAAUUAAGUCAUUAAAUUAUUUAGAAAUAGUUUUUUUAAAGGUUCUUAGAAAACUUUACAUUUUUAUUUUGAUUUAUAAUGUCUAAAAAUCCUAUAUUACACUAUAAAUUAUUUUAAAAAUAUGCUAUUAGGAGUAAAGGAAACAAGAAACUUAUAUCAGUAAGAAAAAAUUUCUAUCUUUACCUUUUGAAAUUAGAGAAACUAUAUUUUUUUUAAUUAUAAGAAAUGAUGGAAAAAUAGUCUAAUUGAAAAAAAAAAAAAGGUAAAAGAGAAAAAUGUUUGUUUUAAAACAUAAUUUUUAAAUAUAAACCUAAAAAUAUCAAAUGUAUUAUCAUUAAUAUUUGAAAUUAUCAAAAUUUGUGAGAUAAUAAUUUCAUUUUGUUCUCCAUUAUAUAUUUAUGUUUAUAUUAAAUUUAUUUUCAUUAAUUUUUUUUAAUAUAUUAUUAUUUUGUGUUUAAUGGGAUAAUAUUUUCAUUUUUUUUUUGUAUAUUAUCCAUUUAUGUUUAUAUUAAUUUAUAUAUAUAUAUAUAUAUAUAUUAUCAUUUUGUGUUUAAUGUACAAUAAUUUUUUUUUUUGUCUAUUAUGUAUUUAUGUUUAUAUUAAAUUUGUUUUAUUAAUUAUCUUUUAUAUAUAACCAUUUUUUAUUUAAUGUGUUUAAAAAAAAUUAAAAUUUAAAAGAUGUAAUGAGAGAAAGUGUAGUGAGAAAUAAAUAAAUAAAUAUGUGUCGAAAACUUAGAUAAGGUAACAUGGAGGAGAAAAGAGAAAAAAAAAAUUGACUCAAUUGUGUCAAAAACCCGUAAAGGUUUUUGUGUGAAUCUCAUUCUUUUUAUUCCAUUUCUUCUAUCAUCUCUUAUAUUUUCCUUUUUCAUGUAAGCACGUUAAAAGUUUACCAAAGUUGCGAUUAAUUAAAAAAUAUUGCCUGUUCACAUUUUGAUUCAUUCAUGAUGUUUAAAUGUUUUGCAUGUAUUUGGGUUCUAGCCCUUCCAAAAAUCCACUAAUUUUUGUGUUUUGGAAAAUCCUCACCUAGUUCAUAUUUUUUGUGUUCUCAUUCUUCAUUAAGUUAGAAGACAAUCUUAGUGAGUGUCAAUGUUCACAUUACUUUUAUUGCAAUCCACUUGAGCGGAGACAAGGAAAUUUCAUUCAUGGUGGUCUUCCCACUAAAUUAAGGUGAUUGAGAUUUGUUUCGAUGGGUCAAUAUCAUGAAUUAUGUGAACACCAAUAUUAGAGGUUGUAGUAGUAGACUAUAAAAGUGUUGCCUAACUUGGGGUGUUUUCCGGAAGAGAGCCUCUUAGACACCAAUAUUCGAAAGCACUUAUCUUGAUUAUGGGGGUAAAAAAUGAAGUAGUUUUUGUUUUAGCUUAUGUUUGGUUCUUGGAAAACACUAAGGAAAGAAAAAAAAUGUAAAAGAAAAUGAUUUUUUUCAUGUUUAAUUAUCUUAUGAAAAAUAUCAAAGAAAACCAAAUAUAAUUAUAACUAGUUAGAAAUUUAUAUAUAUUUAAAUUAUUUAAUCUUUAUAUUAAUGAGUUAAAAUAAGUAAAAUGAGUUUAAAAUAACAAAUAAAAAUAAUUUAUAGACUCUUAAUCUAUUUUUUAUUUUCCUUUACUUUUUAUUUCCUUUUACUUUUCCUUUGCAUUUUUUUUCCCUUGCAUUUUUCCUUAAAUUUUUUGAGAACCAAACAUAGCCUUAGGAAACAAAAGAAGUAGUCCAAAAGUAUUUUGUAUAUGAAUAUAAGGUAAAUUCCUAUCUUAUGUACAAUUUAUAUUUUUAAAAAUAAAAAAUGGAAAAUAUAUGUACAGACAACCUUAAUAAUUAUCAUAAAUAUUUUAUUUGAACUUCAAAUUUUCUUUUCAUUUUUCAUUUUAUGAUUUAAAAGUUUUAUUUUUUCUAAAAUUUCAUUCAACUUUUAUAAUUUGCUAUUGUUCGCUUUUGUUUUUGUCAAGUCUUUGUCUAGUUUUUCAAAGAUUCUUGGAAAAUUUUAUCUCAUUCUCAUUUUGAGCGUGUUGUUUUGUUUUAGUCACGUCUUUAUCUAGUUUUAUAAUGAGUCCACAAAUCCAUACUGCGUAAAUCAUACGUAAUUUUUUUUUUUUGACUCAUUAUGAAUAUUUUAUUUAACUUUUAAAUUUUCUUUUAAUGAUCAUUUGCGUUUGUGAAGGGUCAUUCUUUUCAUUUUGUUUGACUUCUCAAAUCUCAUUUUCAUGUGAAACUUUGUAGGGUUUUCCAAAGGCCCUUGGAAAAUAUUGCCUUAUUCAUUAUGAAAUCUUCCAAAAAUCCAUGACGGGCAAUAAAUAAGGUAUAAGCUUAAUUGAGUGAUUACAUUAUUUAGAACUUAUAUAGGAUUGAUUUUAGGUAAAGCAUUCUUAAUUUGUAGUAGUCUUUGUAAUUAGUGUUUUUAUUAGAAAAACUUUUUAAGAAAAAUCAAUUAGUGCUUAGAUAUAAUAACAAAAAAAAAUAUAUAUAUUUUUAUAGUAUUUUUAGUAAUGUGUUAUAUAUAACAAAAAAAAAAAAAACAUAAAAUCUCCUAACAUGUGAUCAUCCAUGAAUCACUUUAGAUGAUUAACUAAAAUUUUAAAAUAACUUUAUGAUUAUCAUUCUUUAAUUUCGGUUGACUCUUCUAAGUCUACUUAUUGGUCUUUUAUGUAAAUAUGCUAUAGUUUGGAAAAUUCUAUCCAUCAUUAAUCAACAUCAAUCGUUGUUUUCUUUAAAUGAUUUGAUGGGAAAGCCUACCUCACAUGGAAUAUGGAGUGCCUUUGUUUAAUGGAUUUCAAUUGCAUGCUCCUGGAAAUUAUGCCCUAAUCCAUAUUUUUUUGCGUUGAUAUGGUGAGUUGUUGAAGAUGUAUUUCAUUUUCUUGAAAAGAAAUAAUUAGUGCAUAAACAUUUUUGAAAUAUUAAAUUAAAGAGGAAAAUGACACCAUACUCCCAUAAGAUUCAAUAUAUUUGUUUAUUUGUUAAAGAAGUAAAUAAUUAAUUAAUCAAAGACUUUAAAGGAAAUAUUUGUGUGAAUUAAAAAUAUAUAUUUAAAUUAUAAAGGAUUUAGAUAGGAAAGAAACAGAGGUUUUAAAUGUAUAAACUUGCAUGCAACAAAGGGAAUUUGUUGUCAUUGUCUACUGCCUUCUUUGUUACGUUAGAAGAGAGACAGCUGGGUGAUGAGCAUUUGUGUUCGAUCACAUUUACUUUUAUUGCAUGCAGUCCGCACUUAACUGAAAACAAGAAAUUAAUUCAUGGACCACGAGGACAUUAAUAUUAAUAUUAGAGACGUGAGCAGUAGACUGACUUGACUUGGUGUGUGCUUCCGGGAAGAGUCUUUCUUAGUCUUAGGCACCAACUAAUAUUUAUAUUUAUAUUUGCAUUAUAAAAGUGUGGUAAGGUUUAAUUGAUUGCGCAGAAUUAAAGAUGGCGUCCUCCAUUAUUAUUUUUACAGCAGUGGUGGUAGUUACCAUCACCAGUACCAUGAUGAUAAUGUUAUUCCCCCUUGCCAAUGCAAUAUCAUCACCAUCUUCAUCAACUGAUGAGGCAGAGGCUUUGCGCAGCACCGGUUGGUGGAAUUCUACCUCUGCUCAUUGCCACUGGGAUGGUGUAUUUUGCAAUAAUGCCGGAAGAGUGACUGGAAUCGCCCUUUACGGUUCAGGAAAAGAAUUGGGUGAGCUUAGCAAAUUGGAUUUUUCUUCAUUUCCCAGCCUGGUUGAGCUCUCCCUUUCUGACUGUGGACUCAAUGGUAGCAUCCCACACCAAAUAGGUACUCUUACUCAACUCACCUAUCUUUCUCUCGGUCUUAACAAUCUUACAGGUGAGCUACCUCUUUCCUUGGCUAACCUCACUCAGUUGGAGGUCCUUUCCUUUUAUUCUAAUCGACUACAUGGUUCGAUUCUUCCUGAAAUUGGGAAAAUGAAGAAUUUGACUGUUUUGGAUUUGGGUAAUAACAACCUUACUGGUGUCAUCCCUUCCUCUUUUGGUAAUCUUACCAAUCUGACAUUUCUUUAUCUUGAUGGUAAUAAAAUAAGUGGUUUUAUCCCUCCUCAAAUUGGGAAAUUGAAGAAUCUGAGGUUUCUCUAUCUUUCUUCUAACGGACUACAUGGUCCAAUUCCUCCUGAAAUUGGGAAAUUGAAGAAUUUGGAGGUGCUUUAUCUUUUUUAUAACAAACUACAUGGUCUAAUUCCUCCUGAAAUUGGGAAUAUGAAGAAAUUGAUUUUUUUGAAUCUACGUAGUAACAACCUUACUGGUGUCAUCCCUUCAUCUUUUGGUAAUCUUACCAAUCUGAAUUCUCUUACUCUUCGAGGUAAUCAAAUCAGUGGUUUUAUUCCUCCUGAAAUUGGGUAUCUUUUGAAUUUAUCAUAUCUAGAUCUCAGUGAGAAUCAAAUCAGUGGUUUCAUCCCUGAAGAAAUAGUGAAUUUGAAGAAAUUGGGUCAUUUGGACAUGAGUAAUAACUUAAUACGUGGAAAGAUACCUUCACAAUUGGGAUAUUUGAAAGAAGUAGAAUACUUCAAUCUCUCCCAUAAUAACCUCUCUGGCACAAUUCCUCAUUCUAUUUCUAAUAACUACAUGUGGACGUCAAUUGAUUUAUCACACAAUCAGUUGGAGAGUCAGUCCACAACUCCACAUGAGGCAUUUGGCCACGACAAAGGUUUAUG